rnacentral:tRNA from 1 species
GCCUGGGUGGCUCAGUGGUUGAGCGUCUGGCUUUGGUUCAGGUUGCGAUCUUAGGGUCCUGGGAUCGAGUCCCGCAUUAGGCU